rnacentral:rRNA from 1 species
UACGUAGGUGGCGAGCGUUGUCCGGAUUUACUGGGCGUAAAGAGCGCGCAGGCGGUCGUAUAAGUCGCGUGUGAAAGCCCCCGGCUCAACUGGGGAGGGUCACGCGAUACUGUUCGACUUGAAGGCAGGAGAGGGAAGCGGAAUUCCCGGUGUAGUGGUGAAAUGCGUAGAUAUCGGGAGGAACACCAGUGGCGAAGGCGGCUUCCUGGCCUGUUCUUGACGCUGAGGCGCGAAAGCUAGGGUAGCAAACGGG